rfam:Aedes aegypti strain Liverpool supercont1.61 genomic scaffold, whole genome shotgun sequence.
UUCCCAGCAACUCCUAUACCUACCUCCUCGUGGUACUGGCCAGGGUACUAGUAACCUUAGGGAAGAUCGAGUAACCAACCCCGCUGGGAGCUUUGGUCGUAUGCUGACAGGUAAGG